AAGAAGCACAAAGUUAGGAAAAUCAAAUCCCCAAAAGAAAUUCAACAAAAAAGCUUCUGCAUCCAACUCAAGAUAUAUUUAUAAAGAGUAGUUGCACUACAGGAUACCACUUUUACAGGAUGCUUGUAUCCUGACACAAUUUGGUCCCAAUACGAUAAGCUGCCUGAAGCCACUGUCAAUGAAAAACACAUGUGCUGCCUAAAUUUAAAAAACAAAACAGAAAACACAAGCAGAAGUCUUCAUUCAGGUGUUAAAGGAAGCUCCAUAUAGAAUAACGGUCUUAUAUAUGUUUGCAUAUAUACAUACACACACAUAUAUAAAUAUGUCCUACUCCAUCAGCCUCACUGGACAUCAAGGGCUAGUUGGGUCAUAAUGCACAAAAGGAGUAGAUUAGUACAACAGUGCUAUGCCUAUAGUAAAAACUUACACAGAUUUACUACUUAAAUGUCACACUGCUCUACUUCCUCCCAGGCCACUCAUCCCUAUUAAAUUGGCACAAUCUCCCCUAUUCUGCAACUCCCCCAAAACCAAAAGAAAAGGGAGAAACCCUUGCUCUUCCCAAUAAUCCUUGCAAGAGUGCGAGGCAGACAGCUGGAGAGACAAUAAGUAAAAAAAAAAUAAAUAAAAGAAGGCAAACAGACUAUUUUUCUUCCCAAGAAAGCCGCGGGCAUACUGCCAGCAGCAGACCCCGGCUACGACGGCGGCCAGGCGCCAGCGGCCGCCCGGACUCAACAUCCCAGGGACCCUGACGUGGUAUCGGGAGAUUCGUGCCCAUCGCCGCCCAGGUCGCGGGUGGGGCAGCGCCCAAACCAACUUCCCAGGACGCCUCGCUCCGGUGGACGGGCCCGCACAGCUCCUCCCGCCCCGUCCCCGUCGCGCCGCUGCUGCCCCGGGCCGCGCUCACCUGCCGGACGCUGGCGAUGGGCUCGUUGUUGGCGGGGCAGUACGUGGUCACCACCUAGAGCAGGACGGGAGCGGGAUGCCUGAGAUGGGACCUCAUCCAUGUCCAUCUGAGUGGAGGGUGGCAAGAGGACAGAGCCAGGCUCUGGUGAGCGGUGCCAAGCAACGAAAGGCAACAAGCAGAAACCGGUGAAUGAGAAGUUCCGCUUGAACAUGAGGAAGAAUUUACUGUGCGGGUGGCUAAGCGCUGGAACAGAUUGCCCAGAGAGAGUGUGGAGUCUCUCUCACUGGAGAUACUCAACAACCAUCUGGAUGCAAAUCUGUGCCAUGUGCCCUGGGAUGACCCCACUUAAACAGUCAGGUUGGACCAGAUGACCCGCUGUGCUCCCUUCCAACACGAUCCAUUCUGUGAUUCUGUGUGAUUCCAUAUGCCCUUCAAGAACUGCAGGAGCAGAGGAAUCCCCAAGUCAGGUGUUUCUAAUUGCUGCAGAAAAUAAGAGCAGGGGGCAUCAAAACAAGGGAAAAAACAUUAGCUAUCCUUAUGCAACAAAUAGUAAUACAUAGGAGCAUGCACAAUUCUUUCCAUUCUCCAAUACUGUGCUUGAAUCUCAGUUAAAAAUCUCAGUAUCUUUGGCUUCUGAGCCAGCCACUUUAUCUACAUGCCAGUGUUUGUGAAGUUGCAACAUUUUUGUUUUCCAUAUGCAGGACUAAAUUACUUGAUGUGCACUCACCUUGCAAAAUGGAAGCAGUAUCUAUCCCAUAUUUUUAGUGUAAUUGCACUUAAGUGGCUUUGGAAGUUUAGAUGACUCACUGUGAUCAUGAAGUAUUGUUUGUUUUCAGGCAUGCAAUAUUUUCUCAAUGACAAACCAAUGAGGAAUAAACCCUGAUACUAAAAUC